GCAUAUAUGCCUGUAUUUUGUCAUUGUGAACACUUGGAGGCGGUAGUGUAGCGCAAUUGAAAUCCACGAACAACUGUCCAAUCAGUUUUUUGAAAAAUGAUAAGCUUCAGGCGUGUGGCAUACCAUUUUCAAAGUUCGCAAAUCUGCGAUUGAAAACUUUAUGUAUCUUUAUAAAUGGUAAUCUUCUGAUGGUGCUGCUGUAUGUUAAGGUAGUAUACAGUAGGAUUGUUAGGUUUCAUCGAGACCAGAAGUAACUGUAGCCUCGCCCUAAAAGUAAAACAAGUAGGAUCAGGAUGCUAUAUUUGCUGAGUCAUGGUUAAGAGCUUUUAAAUAAUAAUAAUAAUAAUAGAACAUAAUAAUGUGCAUAUGCAAUCUACAGCGAGCUUCUUAAAGAUGAGUGGUUCCCACUGGAAUUGUAUUAAUUCGACGUGAACCAUGACGAACAAUUACUGAACAUGACAGCUUCUUUCUACAAGAAGAUUGCCGGGUCCGAAAAAAAUAUUCUGCCUUAGAGCAGCUGGUGGGCCUGAUAUUUCGCCAAAACCCUAUCAAAUCAGCGAGACGAGCCUUACCUUAAGUGUAUGAGGUAUGCGCGUUUGCCAGGGUUAUUUAAUUUAACAGUAUCGAUAAAUCAUGGAGGCGUGCGACAUCGUACAGAACUCGCGGUAAACACGCCCGGCCCGGGCCGCCUCUACUGCGCAGGACCAGAUAUGCUGGGGCUUCUGGUACGUGAUGUCCCGUUUCUAAGACGCUCCUUUACUUAACGUUACAUCCACGCCGACGCGAUCCGAAGCCAAUCGGCUGGUCACACCGUGGCGUGGAGUGAGGGAGCGGGUUCUUGGGGCGACACAAAACCCCCUAUCCCUGGUGCCAGGGAGCCGUCUAUCAAGACAGUCUGCAAUACAACAAGCUGACGCUGGUGUGCGCACUGCAGCUUUGACUCCAUUGGACUCUCAUCCACCACAGCACCACAGGCAGAGCGGCGACUACCCUAUUCAGUAGACUACAGCUUUCCCAGUUCCUGUUUCCGCCGCAGCCUUUCCACCCGAAUUUGUACCCAAACAUCUCUGCGUCAGAUUCAACUUCUUCAGCCCCGAUGGAUCGCGCCGAACGCCGCUGCUGCUGUGUGGCAAGGCUGUUCUGAUACGUGAUCCUAUGUCAGCGUUGCCACAGACGCGUAAGUCAAUUGUGUACCCCCCCCCCCCCCCCCAAUAACCAAGCCAGACCAUCUGCUGGUAAUGAUAGUGUCCAAUCCUUAUAAUAACAUUGUUAUACCUCUGUCUCUCUCUGCCUCUGUUCUUAUUGAGCGUGCAUUACCUGCUAGCCCACACGUUAAUUGUUAUGGCAUAAUUGUGGCGUGGGGCUCCUACAUUAAUGUGUGGACUAUAAUUGUUUUCUGUGUCAGCACAGUUGGUCAUGUUUCUGGCGUGUUCAACCAUGGGCAUCCCCUACUGGGUUGGUCACUAUGUCUUAUUUGAUUUAUCACUUCACGGUGCUACAGUGAUCCAUGAUGCACGCUAUUGAUUAGUGACGUUAUGUUGCAGAUAACAAUUAGGAAUUGUGCGUGGUUUAAUAUCGGUUUUGCAGUUAACAAAUUAUUACAAAGCGAUUUCCACAGCAACCAUUCUUAUGUAUACAUUAAUGACAGGUCUAUCGAUCACUUGUUUAUGUUUACAUUUGUUCCCUAUGUUAUUCAUACGUUAUGAUGAUAUGCAUUCUACCUGCUGUCCAUUGACACCCAAUUGGGAGGGGCUUGACAUCUGGCUGCUGACGCCGGGGAAACCCAACACCUAUGGACGCCUAAUGCAUCAUUAAUGUCAUCGAAUAAAAUCCGCCCUUCUAACUGGCUGCCGAUCGAAUGAGUUAGUGGCCCUUAUUCAUCCAUGAAUUAAUAAACAGACACACAUAUCAAGUGCGGCUGAUGGAGAGGCUGGGUUGUAGCCACACAUCAAAAAGUGUCAUUUUUAGCUCUUGGAGGCCAAGGUCCUUUCUGAGGUACCAUCACUAUCAAUUGCCCCUAAUGGUUUAUUUAUUUCAUUUUUUUCCGAUAUAUUUGUUUGUCUGUGAGAGAGCGCUUUAUUCUGAAGUCACAUUGCGCCGUUAAAUUGUCAUCAUCCAAAUUUGGAAGGCACCUGUUAAAUGUAGUGAUGGGGAAUAAAAAUGUCCCGUUAACCAGUGGCUUUCGCUGACUGCUACUGGAAAGUAGGGGAAUUCACGAGGAAAUGUUCACCCAAGUCCACCCUGCUUCACCCAAGCAGAUCUGUCCAUCAUGGUCGCUUUCAUUCUCUCUUUUUUUCUUUCUUUCCCUCUCUGUCUCUUACUUUGUCCUUUGUCCUCUCUCUCUCUCUCGCUCUCGCUCUCGCUCUUGUGCUCUCUCGCGCGCGCUCUCUUGCUCUCCCUCUGUGUGUGUCCACUCUGAAUGCUUUAUAUACAACCCUGUCUGUCAUCAUUUUGGACUAAUGAGUUCAUUAAACAUAUUAGCGGUGCUCUGCCAAUGAGGUUAGAUGCGGUGCGGUGAGCAAUACUAGGGUGGUGACACAUCUCCUUCUUCAGUCUUUUCUUUUUUUCUUUUUUGCAAGCCUGUAUUUAAUGCCGGCACAAAUGUCACAUGUCAGUCUUUGAUUUCAUGUGUUUAAAAUAUUUCUUCAUGAAAAAUUGCAUUUUUGAUUUGUUUUUCUUUGGUUCUCUCCCUCUCUCUCCCUCUCUGUCUCUGUAUCUCUCUCUUUCUCCCUCUCUCUCUGUCUCUGUAUCUCCCUCUCUGUCUCUGUAUCUCUCUCUCUCUCCCUCACUCUCUGUCUCUGCAUCUCCUUCUGUCUCUGUAUCUCUCUCUCUCCCUCCCUCUCUGUCUCUGUAUCUCUCUCUCUCCCUACCUCUCUGUCUCUGUAUCUCCCUCUUUCUCCCUCUCUGUCUCUCUCCCUCUCUGUCUCUGUAUCUCCCUCUCGCCAUCUCUCGGCAGCACUAGCUUGUCACCUGCUCAGCGGCUGCUUCUCUUUGCUUGAAAAGCCAUUCUAAUUUCAAGCAUCACAGUGUGUUGGCACAACCUACACUGUGUUUUGUUUGCCGCUUGCAUAUGUGUGUAUUUCCCGGGUGCACACACGCCUGUGUAUAACGUGUGUGUGUGUGUGUGUGUGUGUGUGUGUGUGUGUGUGUGUGUGUGUGUGUGUGUGUGUGUGUGUGUGUGUGUGUGUGUGUGUGUGUGUGUGUGUGUGUGUGUGUGUGUGUGUGUGUGUGUGUGUGUGUGAAUAGCCUACAUUCUUUUUGGCUCUGCUGUCCCCAGAUAUAUCCUCUUAUGUAUUCCUUUUUUCAAGGACACUCUACAGAUGAAAGGAAACAGUCAAAUAGAAAAUAUGGAUGAACCACAACCACAACCAAUUUCUCCAUAAUGAACGAGUGUCUCCAAUUUUGGAGGCUAACUCCUACAGACACAAAGGCCCUGUGCUUUGUACAGAGGGCAACGCUUGUAGCUAUAGCUUGUGCACCACUAACAACACAUCUAAAGGAAAGGGGCUGGGCUGAGGCUCUGAACCAUUGUUGUGUAGUCUGCAUUGUUGAUCUGGGUGCCAUGUAUAGCUGCAACCUAAGUCCAGUGUACCAUGUUCUCUAAAUAGAGAACGGAGAACACAAAGUGGUGCCGGUUCUCACAAUCAUUUUCUUGUAAAUUUCGGGCUUUGAGGAAGUGACAUUCUCUAAAUAUCCUACCCAAGGAUAGACGCCCGAGUCUGUUUCUUAAAGGAUUUUUGCCUUCACCAACUUGCAGGAGGGAGGCUCCUGAAGCAAGUGAAAGACAUGAUUUAUAGAGUUAGGUCAGUGAACAAUCACUGUGUGUCCUGCGUUGGCAUUUGGCUGGCUUUUCUUUGUCCAGUCUGACAUUUAAUGUCCAAUCCCCGUGCUAGGUUGUCUGCCUAUCAGUCGAUUUUCAAGGUGGGCACAAAUAAUGUAUGCCACAUGCCAUACUCGCUUGUUCUAUAUCUGUUGCAGGCCGGAAGUUCGAGUAGAUUCUUAGAACAAAAAGGUUUCCAUAGUAAAAGCUAUAAUUUUAGUGUCAUUCGUUUGAACAGCAUGGCCAUCCAUCAGCUAUUAGUGAGUCAAAUGCGCUGUCAGUAUUCCUGUUUUGAGUGGAUGGGGCCUGCCUCUAUAAGAGACUAUUUCGAUUUUAGACCGCUCCCGGCUGAUUACUGACCAAUCAGGGCAUCUUCUCCCUGAUUGGUUCAGGGAAUCCAUCUUGCCUGUCACAGGUGCCUGAAUGCAACACGUAUCAUUGGCUGAGAAACAUACUAAGUGAGGGAGUAGAGAGGAAGGUACUUUUGUCAUUCAAAAUCUUUUAAUGGUUGAAGUGGAUUAAGUUAAAGAAAAGUCCUAUCAAUCCAGUCCUUUUGCAAGAAAGAAGAAACUUUUCAGGGAGGGAAAGGGGACUUGAGAUGUUGAUCAACGUAUUUAGAUACUUUUGAUAGAAUAAUACAUUUAUGUUUGGAUGCUGAAAUUAGCUAAUUAGAAUUCAAAGUGACUAUAUCCCAGUGGGCUUCAUCCACGUGUCCCAUCUUCCCACAUUUAUAAUGAGAUAUCUGGGUAUUAAGGGAGGUGUGCCUGCCACACAUUAUUCACUUGAACUGCUUUAGGUUUUUUUAUGAGUGGGAAGUUCUUUCUUCAUUCAAUGAAUACAGUCAGGGAGUAGGGAGGAGAAGCCCUGAUGGGAUUAGUUUGCUGCGUUUUUUUUCUAUUUUCUUUCGGGUGCAUAGGCGGGGGACUUAAUAAAUUAUGAAAAUACAUUUUGAGAAAGCUCUGAUCUCAGCCGUUACACUCUAUAGAUACUGACUUUAUCUUCAUAAGGAACUGUCCCAACUCAAUUUCCCGAGUGUUCCUGGCAGACCACAGGUUGAUAUUGUCUGGUCCUUUUUGGCAGUCAGCAGAAAUACCGGUUUCAUCUGGCUUGAUUAUUACUCCGAAAUACAAAAGGUGAGAAAAAUGGAUGGCUUGUAGAGCUUAAUCAACAAAAGGUAAUGCUUUGUUUCUGCAUUCUUAAUGCGUCAGCGUAAUAUCAACAAAACAAUCGGUGUUAAGAUGAACGAUGGUACACCGAGAUCGAAGGAACCAUGCUGUGUUUGUUGUAUAUAAAUGCUGUGAGCUUCAGUCAUGAUAGUGAAAGUAAUAAAUAACUGCAUAAUUAUAACACUAAUAAAGCAAUAAAAAUCAGAGCUAUCGUGAUGGAUCGCUUAUAGAGAACAGAAACAAAAUGAUUAACCCUUUCCAUUCUGUCAUUUCGGGAUGGACACUUGGAAGUGGCCUCCUCUGUCCCCAUUUACAGCGGCAACCAUUUUAAACCGCCCAUUUCUGGGGCAUAAUCUGCUCUCAGCCCAGAUAUCCAGGGACCCAAAGUGGUCUCCGACUGGCCCCUCAGGCUUCAGUCAAACAUAUCUCCAGCUUGGCCAGACCGCGUCUGGGAUGUAGCGUGCUGGAUUAGACCAAUAUAGAGAACCAAGCCGUUGCUGCUCUUUUACUUUGCCCACACACUGAGGAAGCGGCAGGGCUGAUAAGAGGGAAACGCUGCAGGUCUGGUUGGAGAGUGAGGAACAGGUGAGGCAGAGUUCUUCUCUUCCCGUGACUCUUAAGUCUGGGAUAUGGCGAAUAGUACACUAUCGACUUCCCUUUGAUGGCCUUUUUUCUUUCUUCUACUUGAUGGUGGACUACACACCCAAAAAGGACUUCAACUUGAAAUCUCCUGUCCCUCCUUAGACCUGUAACACAACCCACCCAAAACCGGUUUGAGCAAGCGGAGACAAAUGAGGUCAAACACCUCUCCCCACACCUUUUGUGGUCCGGCCAGGGAUAAAGCCUUAAAGAUUCCCCAUAUGGACAGCCAUCAUCUCUAAUGUCGGAUUCCAAAUCGUAGACCCUCCUUCCGGCCUCAAUUAAGUAUGUCCCUCGUGCCGCCUCAGUGGGGACAAGAUUGUGUGGAAAGUGAAACUCGGCUCCAACCCCCCAAUUCCCCAUCAGCUGCAGGAUUUCUCAGAGUGGCAGUGUUGGCAUUCACCUACAGCAAACCCCCCACGGUGUUCCCAGCAAGGGACGGGCUCUCUGAUUCUAUCUUAGCCAUCCCCUCUCCCUAGUGGUGCUGCCAUUUAGAGUUGGGCAGUAAUGCCAAAAUCAAAUAGCACAAUCUUUUUGGACCGCAUCAAUGGGAAACACAGUGCUACGAUUUCUGUGAGUGUAUGUAUUGGCCUUGGAUGAGCAAAUUAUUGUAUUUGCCCCAGACUCAACGGUAUCUACUCUCAUCGGGUUGGCAACGAAUUCUUGCAUCUCUAGCAACCAACCCCUGGCUCGGGGGUCUAUUUCAGGGUCCAUGUUGGCAAUCCAAUCCAGGGAAACCAGCCUGUGGUUCUUUCUUUUUUUCUUUUUUUUUUGCCUUAAACGAUAACAACAUGCUGGUCGGAUGUAUACGUCUCUAGGACCCUACCGGACCACGCAGCAGUCCCAAGACCCUUCCUAAAGCAGGAGCUGGGAGAGAUUGAAGAUUCUAAUGGUGGGAGGAGAAAGAGAGGGAGAAAAGGGAAGGAGAGAGGGUGAGAGAAGCUGGAGCAAGAUAGACUUGGAGAGUAAGCCCUCCACAUGUUGGAGAUACCGGAAUCCUUCCCCCAGAGGAAACGGCACAGAGAAGAAAAUGCCGAGCACCAGCGGGUAGGAUGAAGGUAGAUUAUGCCGGCGGGAUAUCUUGUCUGUCCGUGUCGGCAUCUCAGGGCUUGAGUGUGGAGUGUGGAAGUCGAUGACCCUAAGGCUAGAAAUCUCCCUUGUUUUCACAAUCGUGGUUUCCUAGAAUUGCCAACAACCUUUUGAAUAUAAUUUGUAGCUGCGAAUAUGCUACAAUAAAAAAUAAGGGGAAAAAAAACGGAUUUAAAUUUGAAUGUGACGGAAGCACCAAAUGCGUGGUCCAAGGCUCCUUGUGGAGACAAUGCACUCACUUAGAGCAGCGAGGAGCUUACCGCUUUGCUCCCUCUCUGCUGAUUAGAGAAGUCAAAAGAAUAUGAUUAAGGAGACGCUGUGAUUUGCUGUCUUGGCGUCCGACAAGAGACAGGGACUAAGGCAGUUGCGUGUAGGAACCUUUUAACACAACAAAUAGCUAUUUUCAUUUCGGAAAGUGAAAGAUUUGGGACAGUGAUGUCUUAAAUGCAUUUUGGUAUGGAUUGCCAAGUAAAAUAAUUAAACACUGAAUUAAUUUGA